AGAGUUUGAUCCUGGCUCAGGAUGAACGCUGGCGGCGUGCUUAACACAUGCAAGUCGAACGGAGGUGUACGCUGAAGAAGCUUCGGCAGAUUCUUGUGCACCUUAGUGGCGGACGGGUGAGUAACGCGUGGGUAACCUGCCCUGUACAGGGGGAUAACACUUAGAAAUAGGUGCUAAGACCGCAUAAGCGCACAGUACCGCAUGGUACAGUGUGAAAAGCUCCGGUGGUACAGGAUGGACCCGCGUCUGAUUAGCUGGUUGGAGGGGUAACGGCCCACCAAGGCGACGAUCAGUAGCCGGCCUGAGAGGGUGAACGGCCACAUUGGGACUGAGACACGGCCCAAACUCCUACGGGAGGCAGCAGUGGGGAAUAUUGCACAAUGGGGGAAACCCUGAUGCAGCGACGCCGCGUGAGUGAAGAAGUAUUUCGGUAUGUAAAGCUCUAUCAGCAGGGAAGAUGAUGACGGUACCUGAGUAAGAAGCCCCGGCUAACUACGUGCCAGCAGCCGCGGUAAUUC
rnacentral:rRNA from 1 species